GGCUGAAUAGCUCAGUGGUAAGAGGAGUCGCCCGGCAAGCGAAAGACUCGGGAUCGAUUUCCGAUUCAGCGA
rnacentral:tRNA from 1 species